CCUCCCAGCCCUUCCUCCCCCACACCCACGGGAUCUGAUCCAGGCAGCCCGCCGCCGGCACAGCUGCAGCCGGGAACAUGCCAGGCAGAACAAUUACUCUAGAGACUUUGGGAGUUUCAAGACAACUGAAUGCACGAUAAGAAAGGAGAUAUCUUGGGGAAGAUAGACUGUUCAUCUCUACUGGGAUUCUUCUGUAAGUCACAUUAUUGACUUUAAGGCAAAAGGCCAUGAAAGUGUGCCUUUCCUUGAGACAGUAAGCUCUCUGUUUUCUGAAGUGAAUGGAAAAAAAGGAGUGUAUUGGUUCCCCAUGUCAGUUUCCAGAAAUGAGUAUACUGUACAGCGUACUUCAUCUACAACGUUACCAAACACAAUUUAUUGUUACUCAGAUGAUUCAGAAGACCUUCUGGGACCGCAUCAAGAUAAACAACAAAUAUUUUGUGCUGCAGCUGUGUGGAGGAGACAUUGUCCAGUGACUUCUAGAUAUGAGUCAGAAAAAUAAAAAUAAAUGCUGUUCUCUGUUAUAACA